rnacentral:rRNA from 1 species
UGGGGAAUUUUGGACAAUGGGGGAAACCCUGAUCCAGCCAUCCCGCGUGUGCGAUGAAGGCCUUCGGGUUGUAAAGCACUUUUGGCAGGAAAGAAACGUCAUGGGUUAAUACCCCGUGAAACUGACGGUACCUGCAGAAUAAGCACCGGCUAACUACGUGCCAGCAGCCGCGGUAAUACGUAGGGUGCAAGCGUUAAUCGGAAUUACUGGGCGUAAAGCGUGCGCAGGCGGUUCGGAAAGAAAGAUGUGAAAUCCCAGAGCUCAACUUUGGAACUGCAUUUUUAACUACCGGGCUAGAGUGUGUCAGAGGGAGGUGGAAUUCCGGGUGUAGCAGUGAAAUGCGUAGAUAUGCGGAGGAACACCGAUGGCGAAGGCAGCCUCCUGGGAUAACACUGACGCUCAUGCAGGAAAGCGUGGGGAGCAAACAGG